UUUUUAUUAAAGGAUGAUUUCAUAGUUCAACAGAAGAAUAGUGUUGAUUAACUUUUCUUUCGCUCCUAUCUGAAAUAAAAG
rnacentral:snoRNA from 1 species